UGCCAGACUCCUACGGGAGGCAGCAGUGAGGAAUAUUGGUCAAUGGGCGGGAGCCUGAACCAGCCAAGCCGCGUGAGGGAAGAAGGUACAGCGUAUCGUAAACCUCUUUUGUCAGGGAACAAAGGCGGGGACUAGUCCCCGGAUGAGGGUACCUGAAGAAAAAGCAUCGGCUAACUCCGUGCCAGCAGCCGCGGUAAUACGGAGGAUGCGAGCGUUAUCCGGAUUUAUUGGGUUUAAAGGGUGCGCAGGCGGCGUGUUAAGUCAGCGGAAAAAGCCCGGGGCUCACCCCCGGCGAGCCGUUGAAACUGGCGGGCUGGAGUUGGAGAGAAGUACGCGGAAUGCGCGGUGUAGCGGUGAAAUGCAUAGAUAUCACGCAGAACCCCGAUUGCGAAGGCAGCCUUCCGGCGCCCUACUGACGCUGAGGCACGAAAGUGCGGGGAUCGAACAGGAUUAGAUACCCUAGUAGC
rnacentral:rRNA from 1 species